AGUGAACGCUGGCGGUAGGCCUAACACAUGCAAGUCGAACGGCAGCACAGUAAGAGCUUGCUCUUACGGGUGGCGAGUGGCGGACGGGUGAGGAAUACAUCGGAAUCUACUUUUUCGUGGGGGAUAACGUAGGGAAACUUACGCUAAUACCGCAUCCGACCUACGGGUGAAAGCAGGGGAUCUUCGGACCUUGCGCGGUUGAAUGAGCCGAUGUCGGAUUAGCUAGUUGGCGGGGUAAAGGCCCACCAAGGCGACGAUCCGUAGCUGGUCUGAGAGGAUGAUCAGCCACACUGGAACUGAGACACGGUCCAGACUCCUACGGGAGGCAGCAGUGGGGAAUAUUGGACAAUGGGCGCAAGCCUGAUCCAGCCAUACCGCGUGGGUGAAGAAGGCCUUCGGGUUGUAAAGCCCUUUUGUUGGGAAAGAAAAGCAGCAGGUUAAUACCCCGCUGUUCUGACGGUACCCAAAGAAUAAGCACCGGCUAACUUCGUG
rnacentral:rRNA from 1 species